rnacentral:rRNA from 1 species
GGAGCAUGUGGUUUAAUUCGAUGAUACGCGAGAAACCUUACCAGGGCUUGACAUAUACAGGAAUGUUGUAGAGAUACAGCAGCGCUUGCGGUCUGUAUACAGGUGCUGCAUGGCUGUCGUCAGCUCGUGCUGUGAAGUGUUGGGUUAAGUCCCGCAACGAGCGCAACCCCUACCUUUAGUUUGCCAUCAGGUAAUGCUGGGGACUCUAAAGGAACUGCCUACGCAAGUAGUGAGGAAGGCGGGGAUGACGUCAAGUCAUCAUGGCCCUUAUGUCCUGGGCUACACACGUGCUACAAUGGCCGGUACAGAGCGCAGCGAAGCCGCGAGGUGAAGCAAAACGCAGAAAGCCGGUCUCAGUACGGAUUGGAGUCUGAAACUCGACUUCAUGAAGUUGGAAUCGCUAGUAAUCGCGCAUCAGCAUGGCGCGGUGAAUACGUUCCCGGGCCUU